GGUUAUGGCUCAGUGGUAGAGUGCUUACCUUGCACAUGUGAGGAACUGGGUUCGAUCCUCAGCACCA
rnacentral:tRNA from 1 species